GGCGGGGCCGCUCCGCUCCGCGCGGUAUAUAAACAUGUGUUUCUGGCCGUGGAGAUAGGUCUGUCUCUGCACAGGGGAGUUCGUCCCGGGUGGGUGCCGCGGGGCGGUGUCAGCGCCCCGGGACCCUCCCGGCUGGGUGCCCCCGCAGCUGGGUUGGCGCCGGGCUGCCCGCCCCGCGUGGGUGCUGCGGCUGGGAGAGGCAUCGGUGAAGGGAGCGCUCGCGGCCCGCCCGGUGCGGCCUCGGGAGAGGGGGCUGCUGUCCUUGCGCCCAUAAAACGUUUCAGCGUGCUGGUGUCGAAUAACCCGGUUUCGUCGAUACAGCUGCUUGAGGCUGCAGGGUCGCUGUGUGAGUAAAGGCUUGUACAGGGCCAGGCAUGGCUGGAAUAGGAAUAAAGAUGUAUUUUCUUGAGCUAUCCUAUGAACCGAGUGGAAUUGCUCACCUGUGUGUGGCAUUGCUGGUUUUAUACUCGCAGUAAUGUUUUUUUAGGACAUGACUAGUGUGUGGGACUGACAGCUUAGUUCAAUGGGAAUUUUUCCCAUGGAUUUGAGAGGGCACAUGCUUACACCUUUGUUCUUUCUAAAGUAGAAGCACAUUUUCUUUCCUAAUAAAAAAAAAGUAAGGAUAAGGUUUAUGUAGAGCCAGAUGUUGAAAGGUACUGCGUAGCACCAACUGACAGUUCAGACUUUGAUUUUCUUGGUGCUGAUGUUGGCACCAGAUCCAUUAAAAUGAUUUUCUAUUUUCUCAGCUGCCUCGACAUCAGCUCUAUCAUCAACAUCAGCUGUGACAUCACCAGUGGGACAGUACAACAAAGCAACUAGCACAAUAGCGAGAGACUUUAGCAAGCAAAUAAAAUGACAAUUUUCUCAAGCAAACACAGGAUGCUGUGAAACUGCUGAAGCUCUGCAAGAAUGGAAGACCUCUGAGCUGGGCUCUCUUCUGCCAUCAGCUGGAGGACAGGAUCCCUGAUGAGACAGGAGACCUGAGCCACUGGAGAUAAGAGUGAGGGAAGAAGUCUGUCAUUUGCAGGAGACAUCUGUGGCUGAGGGAGAAAGGCACUACCAUCUUAGGGGCUGUGGAGUGAUUCUCCUGGGUAUAUGAAGGAGGGAAAGGGUAACUACAGAACAAGAAGCUGCUGUGCUGAAAUUGCUUCAGGCUACCUCCUGGAAGGGUCUGCAGAGGAGUGUCUGACAUUCUCAUCCCUUCUGGGCAAUACUCUGGUUGCUUCUGCAAGAGCAAGAAGUGUUUACAGAGGGCUACAGCACCUCAAGUUUUCUACUCACUAACUCACAGAAGCGCUAGUCUGUACAAGCCUCGCUGGUUGCAAAUUUUCAAAUACUGUUUCAGUGAAAAUCAGGUAAAAGGGAGUUAAAUGAAUUGCCAGUUCCUGAAGCAUUAAUUAAUAAAAGACUGGAAGAACUCCAAACACUUUUUAGUGAUGAGGCCUUGUCUUCUUCACUAAGAGGAAGUUGUGAAGGCAGUACUUGCAUAGUUGUGCAUAUAUGGAUUUAUCUUACCUCAAGGUGACUAUGGCUGUGUCUACAUUAGCAAGUAGCACAGCGUAAUAGAAAUUGAUUUGUAGAACCAGGCAGUGCUGAAGACCCAGUGCUUUUUUAAGGUGGUCAGUUUGGACUGACUCUAGUCAGGUCCGAUGGACUGACUGCCCUUUAGCAGCUGAAGCACCCAAGAUGAGUUUAACAAGCACAUCUUCCAAUUUUGUUUUGUCCGAAAGAAAUCCAGUCCAUGUGCUCUGAGACUGUUCUGUGACACGAACCCAAGUGCUCAACAUGGGAGCUAUUGGCAGACUGUCAGAAAAGCGCCUUCCUGAUUUUAACAUGAAUGCUAAUAUAGGCACCCUCCCUCAACUGCCAGCUACACUGAGGUAAAAUCAUAAUGCAAGAUUGAUACUUUUCUUUUCUUACAAGGCACGUUCAUUGAGGUCAUCACAGGAACAUUGGGUGUAGUUGCUAUUUGUGAUUUAAUGUCAAAGGCUUCGUUGUCAUCUAUUUUCCCAUCUUUCAGCCCAGAUGAAAUAUUCUUUAAAGAUGUAUUAAAGGCUUUCUACUUUGUACCUUUGUAUCUUCUUAUUUUAUUCCACUUUGUAAAGCCUAACACUUAGUCCACUUGUAAUUUCAUGAGGCUUUCAGUGGUUUAGAUCAGCCUCAUAGGUUCUAUGCCAUACAACAAAAGCAUUUUCAGAACUCUUCAGGGUAAUUUUCUCUUUUGUAUCCUCUUUUAUAUUUCUUAUUUGACUUUCAGAGAUUGUUACAUGCAUGAAAGCAUCUGCUGGCAUUGUUCCCGACUAUGAUGACAGGUUGGGUCAUUAUCAAGGGUUCUUGGAAGUCAAGGAAGAUGUUGGAGCUAUUUAUAAAAAACUGCAUGCUCAUUUCCAACUAAGUUGAUGAGAGUACCAGAAGAAAGUGGUUAAGUUCCACAAUUUGUUGACUGAAGCUGAAGGAGCAGCUUUUAGCUGUGGAGGUAUUUUCAGUUUCAUGUGUGCCUGUAAAUCAAGUGGAAAACUUGUCCUUUAAUAGAUUCUGUGCAAGAAAUCUUUUAUGAACACUGAUCACUAGUAUGAACACUGUUGUGGCUGCCCUGGUGCUACAGCAGUGGUACCUCUUGAUGGAGGCAUAAAUACCAUCUUCCAGGACAAUAUUUAGUUAUAUAUAGCACAGUUGUAUUGUAUAAAGUGCUGACAAUUGUUGCAGGAACAGGGAGGUCAUCUACAUGAAGGACUGAUCUAAAAAGAAGAAUUUCUAAAACUCGUGGCUAGUUUAAAAGCAGUUCAGUUAACCUGUUUUUGAAAAUAGCCAGAUCUGGAGCCACAGUUGCUGAAAAUGUUUUACUGUAGGUCUGCCACUGACUGUCAUUACAGGAGGUGUAGCCAUCACACCAGUAAUGCUAUCUCUUUUUAGCCUAAGUAGAGACAAAGCAUAGUGUGUUGUGGAUUCAGCACCACAUAAACAGGAAUAGCAAAGUUCAAGUAAAAUAGAUCUUUAAAAAAUGCAACUGAUAGUAGUAGAAGAGUUUUGUUGAAAGUUUUUGUUUUUCUUCAAAGAUUUACCAAGAUUGGAGCCAAAAGACUUUGGACAAACUGAUGCAUGAGGCUAAGAACAGAGAGCAGUGGGUAUAGCACCACACGGGGCUGGCUUUUCAAGGGGCUUUUUUGGGGAGGGCGGAUCCUGGGAUCAGGGAAGUCUCCUUCCAAGUGGCUGGAGAAUUGGAUGGAAAUCAGGGACAUGGGUGGUGAAAGGAGGACUGAGGAGGGAGAGAAGCCUUUUGUACAUGUGGUGUU